rnacentral:lncRNA from 1 species
UAAUCCUCAUAUGUCAUUAUUUUUCUACCACUGGUCGUCACUUCAAAGUGAGUUCAAACAAACUGUGCUGAAAUAUGAGUUUCGGUGCUAUAGUUGGUACUUAGAAUUAUGAUAAUAUAGUCCAGAGUAUUCAGUGACUGAUUGUAGAUGAUAGACACACAUGCAGACAGGGUCAGUCACAGAUUCUAUUGUUCAACACUUUGCAUUUGCAUAGCCAUAGAUAUUAGGCAGAGAAAGAAAAGAGAAAGGAAGAGGGAAGCACAUACACAGUGGAAAGAUAAACUCACACUAUGGAUUUCUUUUUAGUCUACAUACUAAUAUUUUUUACUUAUUGAUGAUUAAAUCUUUGUUAAAGAACAUGGUUGGUCAUUUUUAAUGAUUGUUUCAUCUGUACAAAAGUUUGAUUCCAAAAGUGUCUUCAAGGAACUUGUGUUCAAAUUCAACUUAGCCACUGUCAUAUAUAGUAAACUUUGUUUUAGCAAUCAAAGAAAUGUUUGAAACUAUUGUAGUCAAGAAAUAUUUUCUAAUAUGAAAUGUUUGUAUGAUUAUGAAAAUAUAUAUUUUUU